rnacentral:lncRNA from 1 species
AUAAAUUGCCAUGUCAUGCUAGAAUGAAUUUUAUUGAUUGGUGGAUUAUAUAUUAAUUAUUUACUGCAAAGGGGGUUCCGUGGACCAGCCUAUUAGAGGGGCACGGUAAACUCCAUUAUAUUAUUACCUCGAACGGAGAGGCGCGUAGGGUAUCUCCUGAGGUAAAGCUUAGGGUUCACUUCACGCCAAACCACCACGUGAAGAGGAACUCAGCCAACGCCAAGGAACGGCUGUAUUUUCUCAAACUAAAAAUAUAUUUUAAGUGUAUACGAAAUUUUAACAGUCUUGACGGACUCGGUUGGAUGCCCUGCGCAUGGUAUCACCGAGUAUGAGUUUUGGCACGAGCCAAAGUUUUAAGAAAUUC